GGCGAAGGUGAACGUUCAGCUCCAACUCCACGUGCAGAAAACGGGAGGCUACCGUGGAACCGUCCAACAUCGACCCCGGACCCAGAAUGGGCGGACCGGAAACCCAGUGACAACACUUGGGUCUGCAGCUGCCAUUUUCCGGUGGGAAAGAGAAAUCGCCCUGUAUUUACCAGUCUGUAUUUACCAGACUGUUGACUGGGAUACAAGCAAAAACAAUGAGGCAUGAGGAUUGGGUGUUGAGGGACCCACUUGUCACAUUGUCCAAUUCCAACAGGAGUGCAUCCCUCAGGCCAUCCGGUGCAUGGACAUCCUGUGCCAGUGUGAUCCGAGACUACAGCAGAUCAAGCCUGUGGACGGACAGACAUGAGGCGUGACAUGCGGAACAUCAGGCUCACCCCACGAGAAGCAGUGCAUGAUCAACGCCACCCUCAGCAAGGCAAUCUGCUGGAAGUGAUGUACUCUCACUCUCACUCUGGGGUUGUCAACGAGAAAUGUGGAAACUGAAAGGAGCUGCAGUGAGAAGAAUUACGGGUGGAGUUGGAGGAUGGAGGAGAGAGAGGAAGAGGAGGAGAGGAUGAGGAAGAGUUACCUGCCUACAACUCUUUUCCCACUAUACAACCAUUCAUGCACACAAACAUACGCAAACACACUCUAUGGAUACAAAGAACAAAGAGCAUAAACCUGUCCAACAAUGUCAUUAAUUCCACAAAACAUACACCUAUGACCAUACACUUCAGUCGUCCUCCUAUUUCUUUUCACUGAGCCAGUUGCAAAGACAAACAAGCCUAUUGACUGUUUUUAUUUUUAAUACAUUUGCAAACAUUUCUAAAAACCUGUUUUCGCUUUGUCAUUGUCACGUCUACUCCCGCUCCUCCCCUCUGGUGUAAGCCGGUUUACUAACCACCGAUCAAGGUAACCAUCAUUACGCACACCUGGCAUCAAUCAUUUACGUUCACCUGCGCUUCAUCAUGAGGCACACCUGGACUCCAUUACCUCACUCAUUACCUCCCAUUUACCUGGCACUCCCUUAGGUUCUUUCCCCAGGCAGUAUUGUUUCUGUGUUUCAUGUCAAGACUCUACUCCUAUGUUGUAUCCUUCCAUGUUCUUUGUUAUAUUAA